rnacentral:rRNA from 1 species
GACGAACGCUGGCGGCGUGCCUAAUACAAGCAAGUCGAACGCUUCUUUUUCCACCGGAGCUUGCUCCACCGGAAAAAGAGGAGUGGCGAACGGGUGAGUAACACGUGGGUAACCUGCCCAUCAGAAGGGGAUAACACUUGGAAACAGGUGCUAAUACCGUAUAACAAUCAAAACCGCAUGGUUUUGAUUUGAGAGGCGCUUUCGGGUGUCGCUGAUGGAUGGACCCGCGGUGCAUUAGCUAGUUGGUGAGGUAACGGCUCACCAAGGCCACGAUGCAUAGGCGACCUGGGAGGGUGAUCGGCCACAUUGGGACUGAGACACGGCCCAAACUCCUACGGGAGGCAGCAGUAGGGAAUCUUCGGCAAUGGACGAAAGUCUGACCGAGCAACGCCGCGUGAGUGAAGAAGGUUUUCGGAUCGUAAAACUCUGUUGUUAGAGAAGAACAAGGAUGAGAGUAACUGUUCAUCCCUUGACGGUAUCUAACCAGAAAGCCACGGCUAACUACGUGCCAGCCGCCGCCGUAA